UUGUAGGAUAUAGGCCCACAGAUCAUUUAUUAUUUAAUUUCGAAAAUGCCUAUUUUAAGUGGAAGCACAAACACGCUGUUUUUUUGUGCGUUGUCUUUUUAAAUGCAAAUGAGCUGCUGCUCCGUGCCCCCUUUUCCAGAAUAGAGCUGCA